AUUGAACGCUGGCGGCAUGCUUUACACAUGCAAGUCGGACGGCAGCACAGAGAAGCUUGCUUCUUGGGUGGCGAGUGGCGAACGGGUGAGUAAUAUAUCGGAACGUACCGAGUAAUGGGGGAUAACUAAUCGAAAGAUUAGCUAAUACCGCAUAUUCUCUGAGGAGGAAAGCAGGGGACCUUCGGGCCUUGCGUUAUUCGAGCGGCCGAUAUCUGAUUAGCUAGUUGGUGGGGUAAAGGCCUACCAAGGCGACGAUCGGUAGCGGGUCUGAGAGGAUGAUCCGCCACACUGGGACUGAGACACGGCCCAGACUCCUACGGGAGGCAGCAGUGGGGAAUUUUGGACAAUGGGCGCAAGCCUGAUCCAGCCAUGCCGCGUGUCUGAAGAAGGCCUUCGGGUUGUAAAGGACUUUUGUCAGGGAAGAAAAGGCUGUUGCUAAUAUCGACAGCUGAUGACGGUACCUGAAGAAUAAGCACCGGCUAACUACGUG
rnacentral:rRNA from 1 species